AACACGUGGGUAACCUGCCUUAUAGUGGGGGAUAGCCUUUCGAAAGGAAGAGUUAAUACCGCAUAAGAUUGUAGUAUCGCAUGAUAUAGCAAUUAAAGGAGCAAUUCGCUAUAAGAUGGACCCGCGUCGCAUUAGCUAGUUGGUGAGGUAAUGGCUCACCAAGGCGACGAUGCGUAGCCGACCUGAGAGGGUGAUCGGCCACAUUGGGACUGAGACACGGCCCAGACUCCUACGGGAGGCAGCAUG
rnacentral:rRNA from 1 species